GACAGAGGGGGCAAGCGUUGCUCGGAAUUACUGGGCGUAAAGGGCGCGUAGGCGGAAUGGCAAGUCGGUCGUGAAAUCCUUCGGCUCAACCGAAGAACGUCGAUCGAAACUGCCGUUCUUGAGGAUUGCAGAGGAGACUGGAAUUCCCGGUGUAGCGGUGAAAUGUGUAGAGAUCGGGAGGAACACCGGUGGCGAAGGCGGGUCUCUGGGCAAUUCCUGACGCUGAGACACGAAAGCCAGGGGAGCAAACGGG
rnacentral:rRNA from 1 species